rnacentral:rRNA from 1 species
UACGGGGGGAGCAAGCGUUGUUCGGAUUUACUGGCGUAAAGGGCGCGUAGGCGGUCAGCACAAGUCAGUUGUGAAAUCUCCGGGCUUAACUCGGAAAGGUCAACUGAUACUGUGCGACUAGAGUGCGGAAGGGGCAACUGGAAUUCUUGGUGUAGCGGUGAAAUGCGUAGAUAUCAAGAGGAACACCUGCGGCGAAGGCGGGUUGCUGGGCCGACACUGACGCUGAGGCGCGAAAGCCAGGGAGCGAACGGG